ensembl:lncRNA MIR325HG MIR325 host gene
CUUUUUGUCCCCUCCUUGCUGGUCUUCUAAGCAGAUUGAAGCAGCUUCAUCUCAUUCCUGGUUCAUCCUGAUUCCCUCAGUGGCUUGCUCCUGCAUUAGUAAUGUAAAACUGGCCCAAAAGGGUUUAAAAUUGUCAGAAGUUGAUCUUGAUCAGUUCAAAUAUUUUUUGACAAAGAAAAUCAGUUCUGGUCAGUUCAAAUCUAUUUUGACCAGUUUAAACCAAUUCUGCAGAACUCGAGCCUGUGGUCGGUAAACCCAGGAAGAUGGCUGAAGACUAUGCUGAUUCAAGCCAAAGCAAGGAAUCAGAGUCUUUGUCUCUGCUCUGAGCCGCCUGAUGCCACAACUAUGACUGCACUGGGUGAGACCUGAAGCAAACACAGCAUUAGGUCUAAUUCAAGGCCUUCUGUAACCACUCCUUGGCUGCUGCCUAUGUUUACUCAAGGCCCUGGAGCUUACAAUCAGCAAGUGGGAAUGCAAGUCACACCUGUUUUAUUCUCUUCAAGGUGGUGAGGUCUCUCAACCUUCAGAUGGGUUCAGAGGUGCUGUCCAGGAUUCAGGGUCUUGCAAAGAGAUACGUA